AAUUUUAGAUGACAUUUAUAUGAAAGUUAUCCAAAAAUAGCCUUGAACUUGGAAAAGAAAAAAGAAAAAGAAAGAAAAUCUUCAGGAAACGUAGAAGUCACCGCUUAGGAAAAACACGGAUCAGGACGCAAAUCAGAAGGAAAAGGGUUAUGGGCUGAAGAUGGACAGAUACAGACAGACUGACCUGAACCUGAAAAUCAGCUGGGCUUUCAUUUCACAUUUGAACGAACGAAGGCAAUGAGCUUGUGUUCUUCUGCUACUCCCCUACGGAAACUGAAAGUAUCCAAAUCCGCCAACCACCUGCUUUCCCGCGCUUUAACAAGCCACAACCACCAUGAGGAACACAGUAACAGCCGCACCUUCAACAGCAACCAGAACGCAUCAAGUCCAGCUGAUUCUGAUCUCAUUGCUGAAUUCACGCAACAUGGCUCUCUAUCUAAUCCUUACUUUCUCAACAAAAUCAUGUCCUUUUGUGCUAAAUCGGGUUCUUUCCAUUUGGGCAUUCAAGCCCACUCAACCAUUCUCAAAUUGGGUUUUAUUUCAAACGUGUAUAUUUGUAGUGCUGUUGUUGAUAUGUAUGCAAAAUGCGGCGAAAUUUCAAGUGCACGAGUAUUGUUUGAUCAAAUGCCUCAAAGAACUGUUGUUACGUGGAAUUCGUUGAUUUCCGGGUAUUUGGCUGUCAAUUGUCCGAAAAUAGCUAUUGAAUUGUUUAUCAAGAUGUUAAAAGCUGCUAUAAAUGUGUCAGCGUUUAGUGUUUCGAGUUGUCUGGCAGGUUGCUCGCAAUUAGAGGCCAGAGAAGUCGGGACUCAGGUUCAUGGGCUAAUUUUGAAAACUGGAUUGGGUUAUAAUGUUGUUGUGGGAACGAGCUUGGUUGAUAUGUACUCAAAGUGUGGCGAUGUUGAUGAUUCCAGGCUGGUUUUUGAUCAUAUGGUGAAUAGGAAUGUAAUUACUUGGACAUCUAUGGUUACUGGGUAUUCACAGAUUGAAAAACCUGAUGAAGCAAUGGCUUUGGUUAAAGAAAUGGCGCGUCAGGAUCUCAGGCCAAAUUGUGUAACCUAUAACAGCUUGCUAAGUUCAUUUUCUGGUCCUGAUUGUUUAAGUUAUUGCUUGCAAGUUCAUUGUUGUAUAAUUCAAUUAGGUUUAGAGUCUAAUGUGUAUAUAGCAGCUACACUGGUCACCGUGUAUUCAAAGUGUAGUAGUAGUUUAGAGGACUUCAAGAAGGUGUGCUCAGUUGUUAUGACAUGUGACAAUAUAGCUUGGAAUGCAGUCAUUGCUGGUUACUCUAAAUUAGGGCAUCACGAGGAAGCUCUCAGAUGUUUCCAUGAAAUGAAGCAGGCUGGUAUUGAUAUAGACUCUUACACGUUAACAAGCGUGGUAGGAGCAAUUGGGAAUAGUUCAUUUCUUGAAGAGGGAAAGGCAAUGCAUGCUCUCAUUCACAGAACUGGCUAUAUUUCACACUUGAAUGUUCAAAACGGGCUUGUUUCCAUGUAUGCGAGAUGUGGAGUCAUCGGUGAUUCGAAGAGGGUCUUUUGGUUCAUGGAGGAACAUGAUGUGAUCUCAUGGAAUGCACUUCUAACAGCAUUUGCUCAUCAUGGAUAUGGCAGAGAGGCUGUGGAAUUGUUUGAACAAAUGAGAAAAACUGAAAUCAAGCCGAAUAGUUCUACCUUCCUUGCUGUGUUGUGUGCUUGUAGCCAUGUUGGUUUUGUGGAUAAGGGAAUUGAGUAUUUUGACACGAUGAAAAGUGAUAUUUUGCUAGAACCCCUUAAAGUAGAGCAUUAUGCCAGUCUUGUAGAUACUUUUGGUCGAGCUGGGUAUCUUAAUGAGGCGGAAGCCUUCAUUAAUAGCAUGCCUAUAGUACCAGCGCCCUCAGUCUAUAAAGCUCUUCUUAGUGCUAGUCUGGUUCAUGGAAAUAGAGAGAUUGCUGCACGUUCUGCAAAAAAGCUUCUAGAGCUCUGGCCUAAUGAUCCAGCGACAUAUGUACUGCUAUCCAGUGUAUUGACUGUGGAGGGUAAUUGGGACGAUGCAGCAGAUUUACGGAAACUGAUGUGUGAUAGAGGGCUAAGAAAGAAGCCUGGUUAUAGUUGGACUUGAGAGAACGGAUGCCUGGUUUUUUUCUUGCAAUAUCCAGCCCAGUGUCAUUGCAGCAGAAUAGUAGCUGCUUUUGAAGUCAUUGUCAGGCAGUGGCUGACAGAACUUUUUACCUGAUUUGCUUUUAGCAUACAGGAGUGAUCAGCUAUUUGGGUGAGAAAAAAUGUUCUCAAAUCAACUGUCAGAAAGGAUGAGUCAAGGUUACAGAUUUCAAGUCUCUAUUCUUUUGAUCCAGCCAUACAGGAGUGCGGAUGGGUGAUUGUGCAUGAUGAACUAUGGGAAUGGGAGGAAGAAAUAACAUGAUGCACUGCCGGUGAACCAAACUGCUAGCCACUAGUUUGUUGUGCUCUAAGAUUUGCCCUCCAUCAGAAUAGAAGCAGAACCAUGAAAUGCAGUGUGUCCCAUGAAUUACUAAAAUAGCCAAGGCGGGCGCUGCACCUUUUGGCAGGGUGCGAGCCAUCCCCAACACCCCCCGCGCUCCUCUAUUAUUUUUCAAAAGUUAUUUUGACCCCAUAUGUCUAAGGUUUAUAUCAAUUACCCCCUCCAAAAGUUUGCUUAUUUUAGUUGUCACCUUCAUCCUUGUAUUUUUCUCACGUUUCCCCCUCAUUUAUUUUACUCCAUCCCUGCCACUGAAGACAGUCAUCGAUUGUUCAACACCAGUCAUGAGGUCCAAAUAGUCAAAGCAUCAUGGAGGUAAAAAAAUUAUAUGGGAACAUCCAGAGAUUCUCGAGAAGGGAGAAAAGGAAAGAAAAAUCUUAUAGAUGAAUUACUAACUUAUUCCCUAAAAGUUUAGAUUGUAAUGAGAUUCCAUCAUUUUUUUUGUUCAUUAUCUUUCUGCUUUUCCUCCCUCUUUCACUCUCGUUUUGGUUUGGCUGUCCCCCUCAAUCUUUAGCUUUUGGUACAAGGAAGUUUCAUGAGGGUCAUACAUUUUCAUGUGAUGUAAACUUUUUUUUUCUUCGUUUGUUGGUAAUUACAUUUUUUCUUGGACAAAAAAUAAGAUGGAAAGUCACAAUGUAGUUCCACCAGACCCCGAGCGAUCUGGGAUUAAAGUUGAAUUGAGUUAAAUAGAAACAGCUAAAGGUUUGAGAAGAAUCUACAUAAAAA